UGGAGCUGCUAUUGCCUAAGCUGAGUCUUUGACAAUAAGAAGAAUAUGGCAGGCAAGGGCAAGGAAGGGAGGGAGAGGGUAUUCCAAGUGGAAGGGAGAAUAGAAGCCAAGCCAUGAGACGUGUAAUAAAAUUAAGAGAGUGAGUGCUGGAUCCAAUUACCUGGGUUGAAAUUCUAUGACUGUCACUUACUAGCUACACAAGUUUUGGCAAGUUACAUAUCCUCUUUUCAACUCAGUUUCCUUGUGUAUAAAUGAGGAAAAGGGACAACAACUACCACAUAGGGUUAUUAUGAGGAGUACAUGAUACAACACUUGUGCAGAGAUUAGCAUAGUGUCUAGUACAUGGUAAACACUCACUGAAUAAUACUGAUGAUGACUGUGAUGAUGGCAAUUGCCAGUGUUUUGAUGUUACUGAAGAUGUAGUAGAACACAAGGCAUAGUGAGCAAUGAGACCAGAGAUAUAGGUGUUGAUUUAAAAUAAUCUUAUUGAUUUUUAUUCUACAGGACAAUGGGGAUUUUUAAAAGGGUUUUCAGCAUGGAAUAACAUGAUUAGAUCUGCAAAUCAGAUGGAUUCUUCAGGGUUAUAUGUCAUGAACUGAUUUGAGGAGGAAAAGACUAGAGUCAGGAAGUCCUGUUAGUGAUGUUACAGUAGUUCAGGUGAGAGAUGAUAAGUGCCUGCCUAACCCAGGGACAUCACUGUAGGGAUUAAAAGGAAGAGGCAUAUUUGAGGACUUUAGGUGGUAAAUGUGACAGGAGCUGGUGAAAGAGAAGAAAGAGCUGAGGACACUCCCAGGGCUUCUAGUCUGGGAGAUUGGAUGAAGAGUGAUCCAUCCACUGAGAUGGGGAGCAUAGAAAAGGAGCUUGUGUAGGAACCACAAAGUUAAGGUCAUUUGGAAGAGCUGGAUGGGAAGAAUCUGUGGUUAGCCAGCUUGGACAGGUCCAGUAGACUUAUUUACAUAACAGGGAGGCCUAUGGGAAGGUCUAGAAAUUCAGAUUCAGACGUAGCCAGCAUAAUGGUGGUUAUAGAACCUACGAGGGUGGAUGAGAUUGCCCAGGGAAAGAAUGCAGGGUAAGAAAGGAAGAGGAUCAAGGACAAAAUCCAGGGAAACACCACUAUUAAAGGAAGAGGAAGAAGCCUAUAAAGCCAAGAAGGAGUGAUCAGAGCAAUUGGUGGGGAAGCAAGAGAAGACAGUGUGAUGGACAUGAAAAGAGUGGAGAGUAUGAAGAAGAAAGAAGAGAUCAGCUAACUGGAGUGCCAUAUGGAAGUCCUCCAAAGCAGGACAGAGAGGAACCAACUGAUUGGUAAAUAGGAGGUCAAGAAUGGGAGGAAGGAAUGUGAGAUGAGGAAGUGGAGACAGAGAGUGCUGACUCUUUGAGAUAUGUUUUAAGAGAAGAAGAAAGAAAAGUAGCUAGAGCAAGGAAGGGAAAACAGAGUUAGGGGGAGCUUCAUUUAUUCUCCCUGCAAGUGGGAGAGAUUGAAGAAAAUUUGUAUCUAAUAGAAAAGAAUUUACAGAGAAGUUGUGAAGGCUAGAGAAAAAGGUAUUUGAUGGAUCACAGUCCACAAGGAGAUAGGUGGACACGAUACCAAGAGUUCAAGAGAAAAGAGGUUGGUCUGGAAUGGCAUAGAUCCAAAACAAGCAAACAAAACCACCGUCUUUUCCAUCUUCUGUGAGACUCUAGGCAAGGUGAGUGGAUAAAGUUCUUUGUGGGAGCGGGGGCAAGCUUAAAGUUUGCAUAUAACACUCUUAGGUUGUUUAAAAGACUGGAGAAGUGGAGGCCAUAUGCUAUAAGUGAGGGGUACAGGAGAUUAUUAAACCUUUCUUGAGAGUUGCAAAGAAGUGGAAUUUCUACUAAAGGGAUGUUGGGCAAGGACAAGAGAAAGACAGAGCCUGAUUCCUGAAGCUCAGUUGAGGAAGACCAUGAAUCUGUGGCAGCGGCCAUCUGAACUGCUGGGAAAUGUUUUUCCUCCCUCAUUUAAUGAGUUGAGUAGAGGAGGAGAAAGGCAGGUUGUGGUAUUUACUCAGGGUUGGAGUUUUGCCACUGAGGCACAGUGAAAGGCCAGGGAUGCAAGGCCACUGGGGGUUCUGAUAAUAGUAGCAAGCCCCAUGCCUGAAAACAGGCUCAGAAAGCUAACAGUAGUUCUUCUGUCUUCUUGUUUAUCACGAUGAAGCUCAAGGGAAAGAAGUGACCUCAGAAGCAAUUCCGUGUAUCUUAUUUGACAGAUUAGAUCCCAUUUUCAUUUUUGUUCCAAUUCACAAUCAUGAAAAACAAUAUAUUUAACUUCAAAUGUCUCCUUGUCCUUGUCCUGGUGUGAUACAUCAGCUUCAGCUUUUGGAAACUCCAGAAUCAUUGGAUGAUCUCCCACAACAAUCAGAGGUUUCCCCAGUGACCUGGGGGAUAUCAUGGUGUUUAUGAACUUUUAGCAAGAGAUGGGGGAACAUUUACCCGGAUCUGCUUGAGGGGAGGCCAUCCAGCUCUAGAUAGAAAAGACCAAAGAAAGAACAUGAAGUCACUUAAGCAAGCAUUUGGAACAUGUGAUAGAAAAUGAACCCAGUUAUCCUUCUCUCCCCAUAAAAUAAGAAUAUGGCAAGAGAGGUAAAGAGAUUAUUAUUAUUAUUAUUAUUAUCAUUAUUUUAGAGAGAGAGAGUGUGUGAGCAGGGUUAGGGCAGAGGGAGGGAACUGUGGAGCCCAACAAGGGGGGCUCAAUCUCAUGACCCUGAGAUCAUGACCUGAGCCAAAACCAAGAGUCUGAUGUUUAACCAACUGAGCCACCCAGUUGCCCCUAGAGAUUAUUUUUAAAACAAAUAAACAGGGCUAUGAUCUAAUGGAAGUCAAUUGUUUGCAUGUAAAAAUUAAGAACAUAGUGAAUGAGGUUGUGGUGCUAUCUUAAUUGAAUCCGGGCCAUCUUUUUUGGUUCUUGUUGAUGGUGGCAAUGCAAGAGCAAUAAUUAUUUCCUCUCCCUGGUUUCACACCACUCCUCAGUGGAGUGGAUAGAGAAAGAGCCCGGACCACUGUGGAUGUCUCACAGUCAGUUCCUUGGGGACCAAGAUGCUCUGAACAUGUGCAUUCUGACUCAUCUGGAGGAUAUUUGGAAAGGCCUUCCAUACUCAUCAGGUUGUGAUUGUCCCCUGGGCUUUUUUGGAGAUUUGGGGAAUGAGUGAAUCUGGACCUGAGUUCAACCUAAUGGUGUAUCAGGUAUACCUAUCAUAUCUGAUCUUUUGUGAUCAGUCUCCAGAGUGGUGGUUCUCAAACUUGAGUCUGCAUGAGCAUCGCCUGAAGGACUUAUCAGACCACCGCUUCAGUGGGCCCUCCCCAGUUUCUGGUUCAGGCUGAUGUGGGUGAGGCCUGAUGAUUUGCAAGUCCAACAGAUUCUCAGAUGAUGCUUAUCCUGUUGGACUAAGAGAACUUUCUCAAAGCCUCUUGGAAAUACCAAUCUCUGUCUAUGGGCAGAUGAGAUUGCCAUUUACUGAACACUUGAUCAGCCACCUCUGCCUGCUAGUAACUGAGUUGCCGGUGGAAAAGAGGUACUGACCCUGACAGCUCAUGUGGAAAAAGAAGAGAAUUCUCCCUUUUCACCUUUCCAUCACAGGGUCACAUAUAAUGUGUAAAGGAAGAAGACAACGGGCCACAUCUGUGGCGAGGCAGGUACUGUGCUUCACCCCAUAGACAAAUACCACCUCUCUUCCCCUGAAUUCCUUUAGUUGGAAUAGGGCUACUUGUAUUUGGGAAUUCACUCUCCCAUAGGAUGACCAACCUUCCCAGUCUGUCCAGCCUUCCCAGUGCUAAAACUUAGCGUUAUGGGAAAACAGAGAUACUGUUCACCCUACCUCCCCUUUGGUUUAGCAGAAGUUACAUCAAGAGGA